AGGAUAAAAAUCGCGCGCACCCGGCCUGAGCUCCUGCGCGUCUUCUUCUCCGAUCUUCCUGCGCUCGCUCCGCAUUGAAGCUCCCUGCUCUCUUCCCUGUCCGAGCGCGCGCUCCUGCUGCUUGCUUCCCCCGAUUCUCCAGUUCGAGCUCCUCUACCGCGCGCAUCUCUGCUGGCCGCAGCCGGCUCCUUGCGCCGUCCAUGGCUGCGCCCCUGGCUCGGAUUCCAACGCCCCGCUGCUUGCCGGUGCUCGCCACACGCGCUGUGGUCUCCUAUUUCUUCCAGCGCGUCCAGCCCUGCCAUGGACGCCGGUGUCCUCUGCUCGGCCGGAGCUCUGCUCCCCCAGCUCCUCUGCGCGUCUUCUUCCCUGCGCACGGCCUGUCCCAGCUCCUGCGCGCGUUCCUGUGCUCGCCCAGCCGUCGAGCUUCCUUGCGCACGCGUGCU
rnacentral:misc_RNA from 1 species